rnacentral:lncRNA from 1 species
GAAGAAAAGAAAAAGUUCAUGAAAUAUUUGCGGAAACAGUUAAAAUUGUUUGUGUAAGGCAUUAUUUCACUAAUAGUACUGGAAUAUAUCUUGCACACUCGUAAUAUGAUAUGCACUCUACAGUUUAAUCUUACAUGCACCAUAAUUCAGGAUAAUAAUGAGGACACCCCUGGGUCAAGCAAUUUGAACAGUCAAGAUUUAUUGACCGAGUUUGGUCCCAACUCAAGAACUUUAGAUAAAGCUGAGUAUAAUAUUCCAAAUCUGUUGCCUUAUUUUGAGGACUAUUUUCUUUUCUAGUCAGCCAAUAUUACGGCAAACGCUCUGUUUCAAUAGCUCCUCUGUAAGGGCAAAGCUGAAUUGGUUAAUACUCACACCUCUUCCUCUUCCAGGGGUAAUCUAAGGCGACAUAUUAGCAGGCACCAUUCUUCUAGUAAGGAAGCCUUGGAGAACCUCCUUAUUCUUAGUAGUAAGAAAAGAAAGAAUAUAAGUUAUGUGGACCAGGAAACCAAACCUUCUGUUCUGUCUUUUAUGUCCAGACCAAGCAAGACUCAUUGGGUGACACAAAAGAGUCUAGAUAAUGCCAUUAUUAGGUUUGUAGUAGAAAUUGGGAAGGCCUUCCAAGUUGUCGAAGAUCCUAGUUUCGUCGAUCUAACCAAAACUAUCCAAUUGGAAAGGAAGUUCCAUCUCGCUACAAGAUCCUGGAAAAAUGUAAACCGAGUUUAAAGCUAUAAAGACCAAGAUUUGCACUGAAAUAGAAGCGGUAGGAUUAUGUAUCUACUACUGCAGAUAUCUGGUUCCAAUGAUUGCUAAUCUUUCAUGGGUUUUACACCCUAUACUACCUCGUAAAGCUGGAACGGCAAAACUUUAACAUCGCUUGUAGAAGGAGGGAGGGAAGUUAUACUUUCAAUAACGUUGCCAAAGUUCUAAAAUGUAUUCUCAAGACUGCGAAUCCAAUAGAAGUCGGUAGGAUAGGUUGAAGGAUAAUACCGAGAAUUUUGUCAAGGCCUUCGAUGUCAACGGCAGGCAGUCCUAGGCCAUCAAGGAGAAAUCUGUUGAAGAGAAUGACCCACUCAGUCUUCAACCAGAGCAUGAAUAAGAGGGUGAAAGUAUCAAUGUUAAUCUCGGGGAUAUCAUAGUGUCGGUAGAUAAAGAGCUGCUGGACCUUGCCAUGUAUUUUAAUUUAGUGAAGUUUUCUCCAUGAAUGAUCAUUAAUCAUUUUUUUUUCAAUGCAAAUCUGAAUCAAAAGUAAUAACAUUCAAAUUAUUGAACAUAUUUCUGUUCGAGAUGUACUUCCCAUACUUUACAUUUAACCGCAGCUACAUACAGCAAACAUGUACGGAAGACAAGGAUAGGGGAAUAUACUUGAUCAUACUAUAAAGUUUUCGACAUUCUUAGCAAGUUAUGGAAUAAGUUUAACAAAUCAUGCUUGUUGGUAGAUAUAUUGAAAGAAAAAUGCAGCAAAUUCCUUGUUACUGCCUCUAAUGUGCACUGGAAAUACACAUACGACGUGGUUAAGAGAGUCCAUGAGCUCAGAGAUAAUAAUAGGUCAGCUUUUGGAUCUAAUCAUACGGCUGCCAAUUUGCCUAAACACUCUGAGAAUCAUAACAACUUCAUAGAUCAAUAGGCAAGUGUGAUGUGGCAUGUAGCUAAAGUGCCAGACUUCCUUCAGGGUGAUCAAGCUGUUUUUUGAGUUAUCUGCUUCCCACCAUUUCAUACCAUCAAAUGUAUCUCCUCGAGGAGAGAGAAAUGACCCCUAAAUGCUAACCAUUAAUUGAUACACUCUUCUAUGGUAUAGAUAAAAGAUUUGGAGCCUACAUUGAACGCAUAGAGAUGCUGAUAGUUUCAACAUAUCUCCCAAAGUUCAAAGUAGGUUCCAUGAAUAUGGAGAAGCAAGAUCCAAUUAAACACUGUAUUAGUAGCAAAAUACAUGUACAAAAUGAAAUUAUACAUUCUUAUACAUAAAUAAAUAUACUUCUUAGAAGAAUAGAAUAUGCAUUGGCAAUGCAGACAAAACUAUCGAGAAAAGAGAGGCACAUUAUCUUAAGACUCGGUAAUUAUCUUCCACUUGUUCCAAUGAUAAAAGAGGCUCACAAGUAAUAAAGAAAUCAAGGGCCAAGGUUAUAUAGAUUAUACAUAACAAAGUCCACCUUAUAAGUUGAAUUAUGAAUGAGAUAAGUUAUUCCUAUGUUAUGUACAAAGGAAUCUGAAGGAUUCCUAAAAAUGAAAUAUUUUUCUUAGAGGAAGAAACGAAGCAGAGUUGACUGUUCAUGAAAUGAGUUCAGUAUUUCAAUGAAGGAGCAGUGAAUGGAGGAUAAAAUCUUUUUCUGUUCCUCACUUGGUAUUUCAGUAUUAUUCGUCUUUUUAUGGAACUCAUAAGUUCUUAUGGCAGUAUACGAUUAUUCCGUUGAAGAAAUGACCAAAAAAUACUUCAGGAUUAAUAUAUAUUUAAUCAAGAUAUAAUUUUGAUGACGAUUGGAGCUUUUAUAUUUUUCUAGAUUUCAUAGCUUGUUUGUCUGAUAGACUCUUUCUACUCUGAACAUCAUAUGAACAAUUAUUCAUAAUCUGAAUCAUUCAAUUUGCCAAUAACAUUCUUGCUCAUAAUAUUGAAAAGCACUUGUCUGAUUUUGUUGAAGAGGCCGUCUUGUAACUUCCAUGACACAAUGUGACCAUAAUUUAUUCCUCCUGAUAAAAUAUAAAAUCAGAUAACGGGGAGGCAUACAGCCAUGUGAGAUUAAUCUUUUCAAUUCAAUUUUCUAUUGUUCUGAUUUCAAACUCAAACCCGAUUAUAUUCUCUGGAUGAGUAUCUUUCAAGACUGGACAUCUUCUGCAAGAUGUAUACUGGACGCUUGUAUAUUUAGCAACAAAAUACAGAACUCUGCUAUCUCCAGUAGAUAUAAUUGUCUCCAAUUUUAUGGAUUAUCCUAGGAUAAAUUGAUUGAGGGUGUAUAAACAAACCUUCAUUCAUAAAAUCAUAGAUUUUUUAUGAUAAA